GUCGAACGAUGAAGCUGGAGCUUGCUCCAGUGGAUUAGUGGCGAACGGGUGAGUAACACGUGAGCAAUCUGCCCUUGACUCUGGGAUAACUGCGGGAAACUGUAGCUAAUACCGGAUACGACACCUUGGGGCAUCCCAGGGUGUGGAAAGAAUUUCGGUCAAGGAUGAGCUCGCGGCCUAUCAGCUAGUUGGUGAGGUAAUGGCUCACCAAGGCGACGACGGGUAGCCGGCCUGAGAGGGUGACCGGCCACACUGGAACUGAGAUACGGUCCAGACUCCUACGGGAGGCAGCAGUGGGGAAUAUUGCACAAUGGGCGCAAGCCUGAUGCAGCAACGCCGCGUGAGGGAUGAAGGCCUUCGGGUUGUAAACCUCUUUUAGCAGGGAAGGAGCGAAAGUGACGGUACCUGCAGAAAAAGCACCGGCUAACUACGUGCCAGCAGCCGCGGUAAUACGUAGGGUGCAAGCGUUGUCCGGAAUUAUUGGGCGUAAAGAGCUCGUAGGCGGUUUGUCGCGUCUGCUGUGAAAAUCCAAGGCUCAACCUUGGACCUGCAGUGGGUACGGGCAGACUAGAGUGCGGUAGGGGAGAUGGGAAUUCCUGGUGUAGCGGUGGAAUGCGCAGAUAUCAGGAGGAACACCAAUGGCGAAGGCACAUCUCUGGGCCGUAACUGACGCUGAGGAGCGAAAGCGUGGGGAGCGAACAGGAUUAGAUACCCUGGUAGUCCACGCCGUAAACGGUGGGUGCUAGUUGUGGGCCACAUUCCACGUGGUCCGUGACGAAGUUAACACAUUAAGCACCCCGCCUGGGGAGUAUGGUCGCAAGG
rnacentral:rRNA from 1 species